rnacentral:rRNA from 1 species
UACGUAGGGGGCGAGCGUUAUCCGGAUUCAUUGGGCGUAAAGCGCGCGUAGGCGGCCGCCUAAGCGGAACCUCUAACCCCGGGGCUCAACCUCGGGCCGGGUUCCGGACUGGGCGGCUUGAGUGCGGUAGAGGAGAGCGGAAUUCCCGGUGUAGCGGUGGAAUGCGCAGAUAUCGGGAAGAACACCGAUGGCGAAGGCAGCUCUCUGGGCCGUCACUGACGCUGAGGCGCGAAAGCUGGGGGAGCGAACAGG